UACGUAGGUCCCGAGCGUUGUCCGGAUUUAUUGGGCGUAAAGCGAGCGCAGGUGGUUUAUUAAGUCUGGUGUAAAAGGCAGUGGCUCAACCAUUGUAUGCAUUGGAAACUGGUAGACUUGAGUGCAGGAGGGGAGAGUGGAAUUCCAUGUGUAGCGGUGAAAUGCGUAGAUAUAUGGAGGAACACCGGUGGCGAAAGCGGCUCUCUGGCCUGUAACUGACACUGAGGCUCGAAAGCGUGGGGAACAAACAGG
rnacentral:rRNA from 1 species